rnacentral:tmRNA from 1 species
GGGCCUGACUGGAUUUGACUGCAGGUCAAAGUGGUGCGUAAGCAUGCAGUGCGGACGGAAGCGGGCACUCUAAUCUCGGCUUUCAAAAAUUUAAUUGGCGAAAACAAAUACGCUCUCGCUGCCUGAUUGAAGUCCAGUAGGUCAGCUUAAUUCCGACUAAGAUUGUUGGAACGAGACAUCGCCCAAGAGCAGUUUCUCCGAAGCGUCUUGAUCCGGCGGUGCAGUUAACUCGGAGAUAGCCGCAGGCGGCCCCGCGCGGGCGGUGAAGUCUUUUUGGGGAUAAGGUUCCGGCGAGUGGCUUGGGUCUUGCCGUUACUCGAAAACUUAGGCCAAGAUAAGCAUGUAGAAAGCGUAGUGCUUUCCUGUUAGGACGAGGGUUCGAUUCCCUCCGGGUCCACC